GAUGAACGCUGGCGGCGUGCCUAAUACAUGCAGGUCGAGCGAACAGACGAGGAGCUUGCUCCUCUGACGUUAGCGGCGGACGGGUGAGUAACACGUGUAUAACCUACCUAUAAGACUGGUAUAACUUCGGGAAACCGGAGCUAAUACCGGAUAAUAUAUUGAACCGCAUGGUUCAAUAGUGAAAGACGGUUUUGCUGUCACUUAUAGCUGGAUCCGCGCCGCAUUAGCUAGUUGGUACGGUAACGGCUUACCAAGGCGACGAUGCGUAGCCGACCUGAGAGGGUGAUAGGCCACACUGGAACUGAGACACGGUCCAGAGUCCUACGGGAGGCAGCAGUAGGGAAUCUUCCGCAAUGGGCGAAAGCCUGACGGAGCAACGCCGCGUGAGUGAUGAAGGUCUUCGGAUCGUAAAACUCUGUUAUUAGGGAAGAACAAAUGUGUAAGUAACUAUGCACGUCUUGACGGUACCUAAUCAGAAAGCCACGGCUAACUACGUG
rnacentral:rRNA from 1 species